AAAAUUUAAAUUCAACUAAAAUUGUAUCACUUCAAUUAACAGUUAACAAUGAAAUUGCUAAUUUUUUGACAGAAUUAAAAGUAUCUGGAAUAUUAUUCAAUGCUUCUAAUUUACUAUUGUCAACACCGCAGUCCGUGUCUCCGUUAUGCAUCCGAUGGCGUUCCAAUUCUUCGAUACGCUUUCGCAUGUUGACAAAUUCGUCUGUCCGGAUUGGAUUAGUUG